rnacentral:rRNA from 1 species
CCUACGGGUGGCAGCAGUCGAGAAUCUUUCGCAAUGGUCGUAAGCCUGACGCUGCGACGCCGCGUGAGUGACUGAAGCCUUCGGGUCUUAAAGUUCUUGUCACGGGGAAGAAAAUGCCUAUAAGUAACUCUGUAUGUGUUGACGGUACCUACAUAAUCAUCCCCGGCUAACUCCUUGCCAGCAGCCGCGGUAAUACGGAGGGGGCUAGCGUGGUUCGGAGGGAAUGGGCGUAAAGAGCACGUAGGCGGUGUUGUAAGUCAUUAGUCAAAGACGAGAGCUCAACCGUAGUAAGGCGAGUGAUACUGGAAGACUAGAGUAUUAGAGAGGGAAGCAGAAUUCUUGGUGUAGCGGUGAAAUGCGUAGAUAUCAGGAGGAACAC